AUUGAACGCUGGCGGAAUGCCUUACACAUGCAAGUCGAACGGCAGCACGGGGGCAACCUUGGUGGCGAGUGGCGAACGGGUGAGUAACACAUCGGAACAUGCCCAGUCGUGGGGGAUAACGUAGCGAAAGUUACGCUAAUACCGCAUACGAUCUAAGGAUGAAAGCGGGGGACCGUAAGGCCUCGCGCGAUUGGAGUGGCCGAUGCCAGAUUAGGUAGUUGGUGGGGUAAAGGCUCACCAAGCCAACGAUCUGUAGCUGGUCUGAGAGGACGACCAGCCACACUGGGACUGAGACACGGCCCAGACUCCUACGGGAGGCAGCAGUGGGGAAUUUUGGACAAUGGGCGCAAGCCUGAUCCAGCCAUUCCGCGUGCAGGACGAAGGCCUUCGGGUUGUAAACUGCUUUUGUACGGAGCGAAAAGCCUUGGGUUAAUACCUCGGGGUCAUGACGGUACCGUAAGAAUAAGCACCGGCUAACUACGUGCCAGCCGCCGCUGUAA
rnacentral:rRNA from 1 species